GAUGAAGAACGUAGCGAAAUGCGAUAAGUAAUGUGAAUUGCAGAAUUCAGUGAAUCAUCGAAUCUUUGAACGCACAUUGCGCCCGCCAGUAUUCUGGCGGGCAUGCCUGUUCGAGCGUCAUUUCAACCCUCAGGCCCAGCUUGGUGUUGGGGAUCGGCACAGGCGCCCUCGGGCGCCCGCCGUCCCCUAAAUCUAGUGGCGGUCCCGCUGCAGCCUCCUCUGCGUAGUAGUUUUCUCCUCGCAAGGGCAGCUCGGUGGCGACCUCGCCGUAAAACCCCCAACUUCUGAAAGGUUGACCUCGAAUCAGGUAGGAAUACCCGCUGAACUUAAGCAUAUCAAUAAGCGGAGGA
rnacentral:misc_RNA from 1 species